GCCUACGGGGGGCAGCAGUAGGGAAUUUUCGGCAAUGGGGGGAACCCUGAUGCAGCGACGCCGCGUGGGUGAAGAAGCGCCCCGGCGCGUAAAGCCCUGUCAGCAGGGAAGAAGAAGGACGGUACCUGACCAAGAAGCCCCGGCUAACUACGUGCCAGCAGCCGCGGUAAUACGUAGGGGGCAAGCGUUAUCCGGAUUUACUGGGUGUAAAGGGGGCGCAGACGGCGAUGCAAGCCAGGAGUG
rnacentral:rRNA from 1 species